GAUGAACGCUAGCGGCAGGCUUAAUACAUGCAAGUCGAGGGGUAGCAAGAUUGUAGCAAUACAAUUGUUGACGACCGGCAAACGGGUGCGGAACACGUACACAACCUUCCUACAAGUGGGGAAUAGCCCAGAGAAAUUUGGAUUAAUACCCCGUAACAUAGCGAUGUGGCAUCACAUUUCUAUUAUAUCUUCGGCGCUUGUUGAUGGGUGUGCGGCUGAUUAGAUAGUUGGCGGGGUAACGGCCCACCAAGUCUACGAUCAGUAGCUGAUGUGAGAGCAUGAUCAGCCACACGGGCACUGAGACACGGGCCCGACUCCUACGGGAGGCAGCAGUAAGGAAUAUUGGACAAUGGACGCAAGUCUGAUCCAGCCAUGCCGCGUGAAGGAUUAAGGUCCUCUGGAUUGUAAACUUCUUUUAUAAGGGACGAAAAAAGGUCUUUCUAGAUCGUCUGACGGUACCUUAUGAAUAAGCACCGGCUAACUCCGUGCCAGCCGCCGCGGUAAGAC
rnacentral:rRNA from 1 species